AUGGGCCCCAGCUUUACAGUUUAGUUUGUCUCAGCGGGAAACAGGAGAGACUUUAGUUGCAAAAGAUUAGUGCAAGGGGAGGCUGGCUGGAUAAGGGUAACAGUCAAUAAAAGCGGAAUGUCACUUUAUCCGAGUAGUUCCCCGUACGACGACCUUUCAGUUACUGCUUGGCUUGCGGGUGCGCGCAGCGAGCUUCGGAGGCGUGGCUCGUGGCCCUGACAAGAUAAAUCUGCAUAGCCUUUUAAUUGCGUCCUUGAAAUCUUUUUAUUUUAUUUUAUUUUAUUUAAGGUUUAGCUUUGAAUUGAAAUGACUGUUUCCCCUAAAUUUAGGGGAGAAUAUCUUUCCUCUCAGCGAGGGUGGCUCUCUGCACCCGUCUGGAGUCACUUUUCAUGACGAGUGUUAACGAACUUAGCAAGAAAUAAGUGUUCAAACUAAGAGAAACUAUGAAAUACAGAAUUUUCACAACCACAGGUGAUUUAUUAACUGGUCAGAUUUUAGCAAAAGUUACAAGCAAUACUUCUGGACUGGGAGAUAUGAAAGUUGGACCAUAAAGAGGG